UACGGAGGGGACUAGCGUUGUUCGGAAUUACUGGGCGUAAAGCGCACGUAGGCGGAUUGUUAAGUCAGGGGUGAAAUCCCGAGGCUCAACCUCGGAACUGCCUUUGAUACUGGCAAUCUCGAGUCCGGAAGAGGUGAGUGGAAUUCCUAAUGUAGAGGUGAAAUUCGUAGAUAUUAGGAAGAACACCAGUGGCGAAGGCGGCUCACUGGUCCGGUACUGACGCUGAGGUGCGAAAGCGUGGGGAGCAAACAGG
rnacentral:rRNA from 1 species